AAGUCGUAACAAGGUUUCCGUAGGUGAACCUGCGGAAGGAUCAUUGUCGAAACCUGUAAAUCAGACCGCGAACAUGUGUUUAUAUCCACGGGGCCUCGACUAGUCGAGCGCUCCGUGCUCGUCUGACGCUUGCGUCCGACGGGCUAACGAACCCCGGCGCGGCAUGCGCCAAGGAAAACUUAUAAGAAGCGUCGCCCCUAAGAAGCCCGUUCGCGGUGCGUACUUGGGCAAGCGACGUCUCUCAAAAUGUCUAAACGACUCUCGGCAACGGAUAUCUCGGCUCUCGCAUCGAUGAAGAACGUAGCGAAAUGCGAUACUUGGUGUGAAUUGCAGAAUCCCGUGAACCAUCGAGUCUUUGAACGCAAGUUGCGCCCGAAGCCUUCUGGCCGAGGGCACGUCUGCCUGGGCGUCACGCAUCGCGUCGCCCCCUCCAAAUCCUUGUGGACUUUGUGAGCGGGGGCGGAAAAUGGUCUCCCGUGUGCAUUUGCGCCCGCGGCUGGCCUAAAUACGAUCCUACAUCGAUGGAUGUCACGAACAGUGGUGGUUGAAUACUCAAUCGUGCUAUCGUGCGUCAUUACAUCGGUUGUUAGGCAUCAAGUUAUACCAAUGGUGCCUUUGGGCGCCUCCGACCGCGACCCCAGGUCAGGCGGGACUACCCGCUGAGUUUAAGCAUAUCAAUAA
rnacentral:rRNA from 1 species